rnacentral:rRNA from 1 species
UACGUAGGGAGCAAGCGUUGUCCGGAAUCAUUGGGCGUAAAGCGCGCGUAGGUGGCUUCAUAAGUCCGUUGUGAAAGUCAAAGGCUCAACCUUUGAAAGCCGAUGGAUACUGUGGAGCUAGAGUACGGAAGAGGCGAGUGGAAUUCCUGGUGUAGCGGUGGAAUGCGCAGAUAUCAGGAGGAACACCAAUAGCGAAGGCAGCUCGCUGGGACGUUACCGACACUGAGGCGCGAAAGCGUGGGGAGCGAACAGG